CUCUUAUCGAGAGCGGCAGAGGGAAUAGGCCCUACGACGCCCGGCAACCUUCAAGGAAAACCUUGAAAAGGUGCUACAUCCUACAGGUCAUGUGAUCUGAAAGAUAAGGG
rnacentral:ncRNA from 1 species